CCUUGUCGCCGGUGCCGGUAUACGGCCGAAGAAAAGCCUAGGUCGUCGCCCAUCGGUAUGAUAAAUCUGGCAUCUGAUUCUCCCCAGGCCGUGGGUGUGACAAAGCCCCCAACACUCAAACAAAAUUGUGUCGCCUUCGUGGAGUCCCACUGCAUCGACGAAACACUUCCACCCAUUGUACCGGAAGUACAAUGAACCGUGUUGAUCGUUGGCAAUGUCAACAGCGAAAGAUUGUUCACCAGGCAAGAUGAGUGCAACCCGGUUGCAGUUGUCGAACAAAUAC
rnacentral:lncRNA from 1 species